CAUCCGUUGAAAAGGGUGGCGAUGAGGCGUGGAUAGGGGAGAAAUUCCAAUCGAACCCGGAGAUAGCUGGUUCUCCCCGAAAUAGCUUUAGGGCUAGCCCCAUGGCAGACUGCCGGAGGUAGAGCACUGAAUUUCCUAGGGGGCGUCAAAGCUUACCGAAGAAUAUCAAACUCCGAAUGCCGGAAAGCCGAUCCAUGGGAGUCAGACUGCACGAGAUAAGUUGGGCAGUCGAAAGGGAAACAGCCCAGACCGCCGGCUAAGGCCCCAAAGUGCGUGUUAAGUGGGAAAGGAUGUGGGGUUUCAAAGACAACCAGGAUGUUGGCUCAGAAGCAGCCAUGCAUUGAAAGAGUGCGUAACAGCUCACUGGUCGAGAGGCCCUGCGCCGAAAAUUUCCGGGGCUGAAACACGCCGCCGAAGCCGCGGGAUGCAAGAAUGCAUCGGUAGGGGAGCAUUGCCGCAUCGAAGAAGCAGCGCCGAAAGGAGCUGUGGAGAAGCGGGAAGAGAGAAUGCCGGAAUGAGUAGCGAGAGGGAGGUGAGAAUCCUCCCGGCCGAAUAUCCAAGGUUUCCAGGGUAAAGCUGAUCUGCCCUGGGGAAGUCGGGGCCUAAGGCGAGGCCGAAAGGCGUAGCCGAUGGACAACAGGCGGAGAUUCCUGUACUGCGUGAUGACAGAACUGUGGGGACGCAUGCGCAAGCCAUGAGCCGGGAAUGGAAAGCCCGGCGCAAGGAGAGGAGGGCGCAGGGAGGGAAAACCCCCUGCAGAGCCCAAUGCUCUGACGCGGAGCGAAAUAAGAGUAGCGAAGCAUGGGGAGUGGGUGCCAAGAAAAGCCGCUAUCGUUUGUCACGCACCCGUACCGUAAACCGACACAGGUGGAUGAGGAGAGAAUCCUAAGGCCGACGGAAGAAGCAUUGCCAAGGAACUCGGCAAAAUGGCCCCGUAACUUCGGGAGAAGGGGCGCCUGCGCAAGCAGGCCGCAGAGAAAAGGCUCAAGCAACUGUUUAGCAAAAACACAGGUCUAUGCAAAACCGGAAGGUGAAGUAUAUGGGCUGACGCCUGCCCGGUGCUGGAAGGUUAAGAGGAGGGGUUAGCGCAAGCGAAGCCCUGAAUUGAAGCCCCAGUAAACGGCGGCCGUAACUAUAACGGUCCUAAGGUAGCGAAAUUCCUUGUCGGGUAAGUUCCGACCCGCACGAAAGGCGUAAUGAUUUGAGCGCUGUCUCGGCAAUGCGUCCGGUGAAAUUGAAGUGCCAGUGAAGAUGCUGGCUACCCGCGCCAGGACGGAAAGACCCCAUGGAGCUUUACUCCAGUUUGGCGCUGGGGCCCGGUGCUGCAUGUACAGGAUAGGUGGGAGGCGAAGAAUUGCUGGCGCCAGCCAGUAAGGAGCCGGUGUUGGGAUACCACCCUUGCAGUACUGGGUCUCUAACCAGCCGCCGUAAUCCGGCGGUGGGACAAUGCCAGGCGGGGAGUUUGACUGGGGCGGUCGCCUCCGAAAGGGUAUCGGAGGCGCCCAAAGGUUCCCUCAGGAUGGACGGAAACCAUCUAAAGAGCGCAAAGGCAGAAGGGAGCCUGACUGCGACACCGACGGGUGGGGCAGGUACGAAAGUAGGGCUUAGUGAUCCGGUGGCAUAAAGUGGGAUUGCCAUCGCUCAACGGAUAAAAGCUACCCUGGGGAUAACAGGCUUAUCACUCCCAAGAGUUCACAUCGACGGAGUGGUUUGGCACCUCGAUGUCGGCUCAUCGCAUCCUGGGGCUGCAGCAGGUCCCAAGGGUUGGGCUGUUCGCCCAUUAAAGCGGUACGCGAGCUGGGUUCAGAACGUCGUGAGACAGUUCGGUCCCUAUCCGGCGCGGGCGGAGGAAACAUGAGAGGGGCUGUCCCUAGUACGAGAGGACCGGGAUGGACGGGCCGCUGGUGGACCUGUUGGCAUGCCAAUGCCAUGGCAGGGUAGCCAAGCCCGGGAGGGAUAAACGCUGAAGGCAUCUAAGCGUGAAGCCCGCCUCAAGAUGAAGUUUCCCAACCGAAAGGAGUAAGACCCCUUGGAGAGUACGAGGUGGAUAGGGCAGAGGUGGAAGUGCAGCAAUGCAUGGAGCUGACUGUUACUAAUCGGUCGAGGGCUUGACCGA
rnacentral:ncRNA from 1 species